rnacentral:rRNA from 1 species
UACGUAGGGUGCGAGCGUUAAUCGGAAUUACUGGGCGUAAAGCGUGCGCAGGCGGUUUUGUAAGCCAGAUGUGAAAGCCCCGGGCUUAACCUGGGAAUGGCAUUUGGGACUGCAAGGCUUGAGUGCGGCAGAGGAGACUGGAAUUCCUGGUGUAGCAGUGAAAUGCGUAGAUAUCGGGAGGAACACCAGUGGCGAAGGCGAUCAUCUGGGGAUGUUCUGACACUGAGGAGCGAAAGCUAGGGGAGCAAACGGG